rfam:Pediococcus pentosaceus ATCC 25745, complete genome.
AGAUUUCUUCGGGGCAGGGUGUAAUUCCCGACCGACGGUAACAACCAAGGGUUGAAGUCCGUGACCCGCGAGUAGCGGUGGACCUAGUGAGAGUCUAGGACCGACAGUAUAGUCUGGAUGGGAGAAGAAACGU